UACGUAGGUGGCAAGCGUUGUCCGGAUUUACUGGGCGUAAAGAGCGCGCAGGCGGUCGUUCAAGUCGCGUGUGAAAGCCCCCGGCUCAACUGGGGAGGGUCACGCGAUACUGAUCGACUCGAAGGCAGGAGAGGGAAGUGGAAUUCCCGGUGUAGUGGUGAUAUGCGUAGAUAUCGGGAGGAACACCAGUGGCGAAGGCGGCUCUCUGGGCCUUUCCUGACGCUGAGACGCGAAAGCGUGGGGAGCGAACCGG
rnacentral:rRNA from 1 species